UACGUAGGGUCCGAGCGUUGUCCGGAGUUACUGGGCGUAAAGCGCGCGCAGGCGGCCGCCCAAGUCUGGCGUGAAAGCCCCCGGCUCAACCGGGGAGGGUCGCCGGAGACUGGGCGGCUUGAGGGCGGCAGGGGCCGGUGGAAUUCCCGGUGUAGUGGUGAAAUGCGUAGAGAUCGGGAGGAACACCCGUGGCGAAGGCGGCCGGCUGGGCCGACCCUGACGCUGAGGCGCGAAGGCGUGGGGAGCGAACGGG
rnacentral:rRNA from 1 species